UCACACAUAUUUAUAUCCCGCUUUUUGACAAGCAAAGUAUUUAUACUGCAAUUAAAAAGGUUUAUCACACACAGGGACUUGAUGUCUUGAUUGUGGAUUAAUGGAAUAGUUCACAUUAAACAUAUUGAAUUGCUGGAAACCCCUUAGAGCCUUAUCAACUACAACAUAGUCUCGAACAGAGACAAGUGUGAAUGUUUGAAAAUGAUAAGGAUUGGGCAAUCAGCAGCCAAGCCUCGAACAGAGGAAGGUUCAACGACUAAGUGCCUUAAGCAAGGACAGUGGUAUGCACCGAGAUAAUUGGUGAAGAUAUAGUCUACUCUCUAGUGAAAGCUGGAG
rnacentral:ncRNA from 1 species